rnacentral:rRNA from 1 species
UUAAAAAGCUCGUGGUUGGAUUUCUGCGGGGGCGGGGCGGCCGGUUGCUUAUAGCAACUCGAGCUAGCACUUCCCCUGCAUCCUGCCGCGAACCGUGCUACCAUUAGUUUGGUGGCGCCGGGGAUCGGCUCGUUUACUUUGAGAAAAAUAGAGUGUUCAAAGCAGGCCACACGCCUUGAAUAAGUUAGCAUGGAAUAAUGAUAAAGGACUUCGGUUCUAUUUUGUUGGUGUUCGGGACUGAAGUAAUGAUUGAUAGGGACAGUUGGGGCGGUUCGUAUUCCAAAGCGAGAGGUGAAAUUCUUAGACCUUCGGAAGACGAACAGCUGCGAAAGCGUUCCGCAAGGAUGUUCCCUUUGAUCAAGAACGAAAGUUGGGGGAUCGAAGACGAUCAGAUACCGUCGUAGUCUCAACUAUAAACUAUACCAGCUAGGGAUCGGCCAACGUUUAAUUACACCGACUUGGUCGGCACCUUAUGAGAAAUCAAAGCAUCUGGGUUCCGGGGGGAGUAUGGUCGCAAGGCUGAAACUUAAAGGAAUUGACGGAAGGGCACCACCAGCCGUGGAGCCUGCGGCUUAAUUUGACUCACACGGGAAAACUUACCAGGUCCAGACAUAGUAAGGAUUGACAGAUUGAUAGCUC